rnacentral:rRNA from 1 species
UGCAAGUCGAGCGCGGGAAGCGAGUGGAUCCCUUCGGGGUGAAGCUCGUGGAACGAGCGGCGGACGGGUGAGUAACACGUGGGCAACCUGCCUGUAAGACCGGAAUAACCCCGGGAAACCGGGGCUAAUGCCGGGUAAUACUUUUCUUCGCAUGAAGGAAAGUUGAAAGAUGGCUUCUUGCUAUCACUUACAGAUGGGCCCGCGGCGCAUUAGCUAGUUGGUGAGGUAACGGCUCACCAAGGCGACGAUGCGUAGCCGACCUGAGAGGGUGAUCGGCCACACUGGGACUGAGACACGGCCCAGACUCCUACGGGAGGCAGCAGUAGGGAAUCUUCCGCAAUGGACGAAAGUCUGACGGAGCAACGCCGCGUGAACGAUGAAGGUCUUCGGAUCGUAAAGUUCUGUUGUUAGGGAAGAACAAGUACCGUGCGAAUAGAGCGGUACCUUGACGGUACCUAACGAGGAAGCCCCGGCUAACUACGUGCCAGCAGCCGCGGUAAUACGUAGGGGGCAAGCGUUGUCCGGAAUUAUUGGGCGUAAAGCGCGCGCAGGCGGUUCCUUAAGUCUGAUGUGAAAGCCCACGGCUCAACCGUGGAGGGUCAUUGGAAACUGGGGAACUUGAGGACAGAAGAGGAGAGUGGAAUUCCACGUGUAGCGGUGAAAUGCGUAGAUAUGUGGAGGAACACCAGUGGCGAAGGCGACUCUCUGGUCUGUUUCUGACGCUGAGGUGCGAAAGCGUGGGUAGCAAACAGGAUUAGAUACCCUGGUAGUCCACGCCGUAAACGAUGAGUGCUAGGUGUUAGGGGGCUUCCACCCCUUAGUGCUGAAGUUAACGCAUUAAGCACUCCGCCUGGGGAGUACGGCCCGCAAGGCUGAACUCAAAGGAUUUGACGGGGGCCCGCACAAGCGGUGGAGCAUGUGGUUU